UACGUAGGGUGCGAGCGUUGUCCGGAAUUAUUGGGCGUAAAGAGCUCGUAGGCGGUCUGUCGCGUCGGUCGUGAAAACCUGCAGCUUAACUGUGGGCGUGCGGUCGAUACGGGCAUGACUGGAGUUCGGCAGGGGAGACUGGAAUUCCCAGUGUAGCGGUGAAAUGCGUAGAUAUUGGGAGGAACACCAGUGGCGAAGGGCGGCUCACUGGACCGGAACUGACGCUGAGGCGGCGAAAAGCGUGGGGAGCAAACAGG
rnacentral:rRNA from 1 species